rnacentral:rRNA from 1 species
GAAUUCCGUGAGUCAUCGAAUCUUUGAACGCCCAUUGCCGGUCGACUCUUCGGAGGAGACCACAUCUGCCUCAGCGUCGGAAUA